rnacentral:misc_RNA from 1 species
GAUGAAGAACGUAGCGAAAUGCGAUACUUGGUGUGAAUUGCAGAAUCCCGUGAACCAUCGAGUCUUUGAAUGCAAGUUGCGCCCGAAGCCAUUAGGCCGAGGGCACGCCUGCCUGGGUGUCACACACCGUUACCCUCGCGCCAACGUCCAUCGUUGGCCGCGGCGCGGGGCGUGCGCUGACCUCCCGCGAGCGGGGUCUCGUGGUUGGUUGAAAAUCGAGUUCGCGGUCGAGGGUGCCGUGAUGAAAUGGUGGAUGGGCGACGCCCGAGGCCAAUCACGCGCGACUCCGUCCGGCUCGGACUCCUGGACCCCUUCGGCGUCUCCGGACGCUCUUUGGCGAGACCUCAGGUCAGGCGGGGCUACCCGCUGAGUUUAAGCAUAUCAAUAAGCGGAGGA